GGAGAAUUGCUUGAACCCAGGAAGCGGGGUUCAAGGUUGCAGUGAGCCAAGAUCGUGCCACUGCACUCCAGCCUGCAACAGAGCAAGACUCUGUCUCAAGAUUAAAAAAAGUCAGCUCCUGACAGAGCCCUCAACUUACAGAUGAACCCAAGUGACCUCUCCUCAUGAGCCUGCUACGGUCUCCACUCAGGAGGAGAGAUGGCUUCAUCACCAUCGCAUGCGGCCCAGGUGCUGGUGUGAUGGCUCACUGCAUCUACGCCACUGGGGCUUGGCCUGUACACACGA
rnacentral:lncRNA from 1 species